AACGAACGCUGGCGGCAUGCCUAACACAUGCAAGUCGAACGAGACCUUCGGGUCUAGUGGCGCACGGGUGCGUAACGCGUGGUAACCUGCCCUUAGGUUCGGAAUAACUCCCCGAAAGGGGUGCUAAUACCGGAUAAUGUCUUCGGACCAAAGAUUUAUCGCCUUUGGAUGGGCCCGCGUUGGAUUAGCUAGUUGGUAGGGUAAAAGCCUACCAAGGCGACGAUCCAUAGCUGGUCUGAGAGGAUGAUCAGCCACACUGGGACUGAGACACGGCCCAGACGCCUACGGGAGGCAGCAGUGGGGAAUAUUGGACAAUGGGCGAAAGCCUGAUCCAGCAAUGCCGCGUGAGUGAUGAAGGCCUUAGGGUUGUAAAGCUCUUUUAACAGGGAUGAUAAUGAGAGUACCGGGAGAAUAAGCUCCGGCUAACUCCGUG
rnacentral:rRNA from 1 species